GAUGAACGCUGGCGGCGUGCCUAAUACAUGCAAGUCGAGCGAACGGACGAGACGUUUGCGUCGUUGAUGUUAGCCGCGGACGGGUGAGUCACACGUGUAACACCUACCUAUCUGUCGGGUAUAACUUCGGGAAACCGGCUCUUAUACCGGAUAAUAUCUUGAACCGCAGGGUUCAAAAGUAAAAGACGGCCUUGGUGUCACGUCUAGAUGGAUCCGCGCCGCAUUGGCUGGUUGGUAAGGUAACGGCUUACCAAGGCAACGAUGCGUAGCCGAGCGGAGGGGGUGAUAGGCCACACUGGAGCUGAGACGGCGUCCAUGGGCCUACGGGAGGCAGCAGUCGGGUAUCGUCCGCAAUGGUCGGAAGCCUGGCAGAGCGACGCGACGCGUGUUACGAAAGUCUCCGGAUCGGAAAGCCCUGUUUUUAGUGAAGAACAGAUGUGUAAGUAGCUGAGGACAUCUUGACGGUACCUAAUCAGAAAGCACCGGCUAACUACGUG
rnacentral:rRNA from 1 species